UACAGAGGGGGCAAGCGUUGUUCGGAAUUACUGGGCGUAAAGGGCGCGUAGGCGGCCUCCUAAGUCAGACGUGAAAUCCCUCGGCUCAACCGGGGAACUGCGUCUGAUACUGGGAGGCUUGAAUCCGGCAGAGGGGGGUGGAGUUCCGCGUGUAGCAGUGAAAUGCGUAGAGAUGCGGAGGAACACCGAUGGCGAAGGCAGCCCCCUGGGCUGACACUGACGCUCAGGCACGAAAGCGUGGGGAGCAAACAGG
rnacentral:rRNA from 1 species